UGGUGGAGUGAUUUGUCUGGUUAAUUCCGUUAACGAACGAGACCUUAACCGGCUAAAUAGUCACGCGAUUAUAUAAUCGUGACUGACUUCUUAGAGGGACUGUUGGUGUUUUAACCAAAGUCAGGAAGGCAAUAACA
rnacentral:rRNA from 1 species